rnacentral:rRNA from 1 species
GAUGAACGCUGGCGGCGUGCUUAACACAUGCAAGUCGAACGGAAAGGCUCCUGCUUGCAGGGGUACUCGAGUGGCGAACGGGUGAGUAACACGUGGGUGAUCUGCCCUGCACUUCGGGAUAAGCCUGGGAAACUGGGUCUAAUACCGGAUAGGACGAUGGUUUGGAUGCCAUUGUGGAAAGUUUUUUCGGUGUGGGAUGAGCUCGCGGCCUAUCAGCUUGUUGGUGGGGUAAUGGCCUACCAAGGCGUCGACGGGUAGCCGGCCUGAGAGGGUGUACGGCCACAUUGGGACUGAGAUACGGCCCAGACUCCUACGGGAGGCAGCAGUGGGGAAUAUUGCACAAUGGGCGCAAGCCUGAUGCAGCGACGCCGCGUGGGGGAUGACGGCCUUCGGGUUGUAAACUCCUUUCGCUAGUGACGAAGCGCAAGUGACGGUACCUGGAGAAGAAGCACCGGCUAACUACGUG